GCCCGUCUGGCUCAUCAGUAGAGCAUGUGACUCUUGAUCGUGGGGUCAUGAGUUCGAGCCCCAUGUUGGGCA
rnacentral:tRNA from 1 species